rnacentral:rRNA from 1 species
UACGGGGGGGGCAAGCGUUGUUCGGAAUUACUGGGCGUAAAGGGCUCGUAGGCGGCCAACUAAGUCGGACGUGAAAUCCCCAGGCUCAACCUGGGAACUGCGUCCGAUACUGGAUGGCUUGAAUCCGGGAGAGGGAUGCAGAAUUCCAGGUGUAGCGGUGAAAUGCGUAGAUAUCUGGAGGAAUACCGGUGGCGAAGGCGGCAUCCUGGACCGGCAUUGACGCUGAGGCACGAAAGCGUGGGGGAUCAAACAGG